UGAAUGGAGUUUGGUUCAGAGAGUUUGUGUUGAGGAGCUUCGUGUUGUGUGAAUGUUGGAGGAUUGAAAAUGAUCUUUGGAAGUGGAACCAGAUUAAACGUUGAACCCAUCGAGGAGUACGACCCGUCCUACUACAAGCUGUCAGAUGGACACACCUCGGUGUGCCUGGCCACCGGCUUCAGCAGAGCCAAAGCUGCAUAUCAUCAACAUCAGGAUGUCUUCAAAAAUCAGACUGAAGCUGUGCGGAUCACAGACGAGCUGCUGUACAACCAGGUGACGGUCCUGUCGACCGCAGAGGAGAUAGAGACGUGUGUGGAUGCUGAAGAACAAGCUUCUGCGUCGUGUGAAGACUCUCUGGAACCAGAUGCAAAGAUGAACCUGCUGUCUCUCACCAUCCUGGGCCUCAGGCUGCUCUUCAUCAAGACCAUCGUCUUCAACGUGCUGAUGACUCUGCAGCUGUGGAUCAGUCGCUGACCGUAGGACCUCUGCAGAACUUCCCCUCAACAAAUGGAUCCUUUGAUCCACGAAGGACUUUGACGCCUUUCUUUGAGCGUCUGUUUCGCGGACAGCGACAAGUACAAAUACGUGUUGAUGUGUUCGUAGCGGCGACGGACACGGUGCAUCGUGUACAACUUGUUGUUGCUCUUCAUGUAAAUAUCACGUUUACCUUUAACAGUGAAAGUUUCGGUGAGACUUCCUGUUGUUGAAAUAAAGACUGAAACCUGAA